GCUUCCGUAUCUUAGAGGUAGAGCGUUCGCUUCGUAAGCGAAGGUCGCGAGUUCGAUUCUCGCCGGCAGCU
rnacentral:tRNA from 1 species